CAACGAACAGAUUCGUUUUUCAUGAUAUAUAGAUAUAUAUAUAUAAAUAAUAUAUUCAUUUUUUACAGUAGUAAAUUUGUAAUUUUUUGAAAAUUAUAAUCAUUGUAAUUAUUUUUAUCGAUUUGUAAACGGUAUUUGUCUAAAGAAAUUAGAAUGUAUUUGUUUUAAAAAUAAUAGUUUAAAAAAUAAAUUACCGCUUUCCGUAAUAUCUGUACGAAUAUCUAUACUCGUAGGUACUUGUGUGUGGUGUUUGAAGUCUGAAAUAUAUUCAACAAUAUUCAAUAAAAUCACCUGAAUGUGGAAUAUUGGAUUUUGAUUGAUUAUUUCACAAUUUAAUCCUUCCGCCUUAAAAAUUUAAGGUUCUCGCUAAUUUAGAAGAUAAUUAGAUGAUAAUAUUGUCUUUUUUUUACUUACAAUUACAAUCACACAUUCAAGCGAUUUAACUAGUACGUAAAUAAGUUAAUAUAUAUAUAUAUAAAAAUAUUAUUUAUAUGAAAU